rnacentral:lncRNA from 1 species
UUAUAUUGGUUAAGUAUAGAAUAGGUACAUAUAUGUAUGUUUUUUAUUGCCUUACUACAGUCAUAUUAUCACCUUGUUUUUCUUGUUUCACCUUAUGCUAAAAGGAGUCAUAUCACGUUGACAUAGCCUUUUGCCUUUGACAACAUUGCCCGCAAUCGUCUUGGCAACAUAGAGCAGAGCAUUCACAUUUAUGGCUUGUAUUUGUGCAGUAUUACCAAAAACUGGCCAAUUACCCUAUCUCUUCAAGUGGUUGUGGCUGCCAUCUUCAGUAUCACUCUGUUUAGCAUUUGCACAUAUUGGCAUUAGGCCUAGAAAUCUCUGUUUCAGAUAUCUGUCAAUGGUUUUAUCAGUUGUAUUUUGUAUGGCAUGAAGUGAGGUUGAACUAUUAAUUUAAAUUCUAACAGUGUCAUUCUCACUAGUAACUAUUCUUACAAUGUCUAGGUCCUUGGAACAUAUUUCAACUGACAUUUCAUUGAAGUUUGUCAAAAACUUCAUUAGGACUUUCAAACAAUUAUGCUCUACGAACUAAUUAACUACACCUUCGUCAACAGACAUUUGGCAUAUGUUACUGCCAAAUUUGUUUUGGUGUGAAAUGCUAGUGGGAGAUAGGAUAAAAGCUCACAACACCAAGACCCCAUGUUCUUUCUUGAGUCUCAGAAUGUUAGGAUUUAGAGAACUUCGUAUUGGCUCCAAUUUAAUGAAAUAAAAUGAUCUGAAAUCAUGAAUUUGUUGAGCUUGGUAUGAUUUCUAUAGGUUUAGCCGAGUUGCACAGCAUAUUUUCUUGAGCCUAACUCUUGAAAGGCUUAUUGGACUUGAACACAACCACUUUAUGAGUUUUAUGAAUGUAUUUUUGCGGUGUAUCAAACCACUUUAGUAAGCAGGUGACAUUUUGUUGGGGUAAAUGUAAUGCCAGUUGGUAAUUUGAUCUGAAGAUAUUAUGGUUUCUAAUGACUGUCAAAAUAUUGUGUGAAUGGCCGAAUACUUUGGCCUUGAGUUUUGUAUAUUAUAUAUAGACUUUACAAGGAUGCUAUACAUGGAAAGCAAAUAAAAGCAAAUAAAUUCCCUCAUGAUUCUAGUCCUAUACAUGUAAAUUAUAAUCUGUCAAAUAAUAUAUGCUAAUUGUACAUAAUAAUAAAUGGAGAAAUAAGGAAACAAUUGUAGGCUAAAAUAAGGAAAGAAGUGUGGGUUAAAAUAAGGAAAGAAGUGUGGACAGCAAAGCUGUCCUUUGACAGCCCCCCUCAAAUUGAUGCAGGUUGAUCAACAAGCAUCAAUUUGUUACUUAGCAAGCAAUGUCGAUGACGAGGGAGAGCCUUGGUGAAGAUAUCAGCAAUUUGUAAGUCAGUGGAAAUAUGUGGAAGAGUGAUAACACGAGCUUCAUAGGCUUCACGGAUAGAGUGACAAUCCACUUCAAUAUGCUUUGUGCGCUCAUGAUAGACAGGAUUGGUCGUGAUUUGAAUAGCACUUGUAUUAUCGGCAUGUAGAGGUGUAGGAUUGGUCUCAGAAAAAUCUAACUCCGCAAGCAAACCUCGAAGCCAAAUGAUUUCAGAACAAGUAAGAGACAUCGCCCAGUACUCAGAUUCCGUAGAUGACUUAGAGACUCUGUCUUGCUUCUUACUUUUCACAAACAUCUUAAACUAAAGCUGGGCUAGAGUCCGAGAGCCCCUAGGGCUAAAUCCGAGAGCCCCUAGGGCUAAAUCAGAGAGCCCCUAGGGCUAAAUCCGAGAGCCCUUAGGGCUAAAUCCGAGAGCCCCUAGGGCUAAAUCCGAGAGCCCCUAGGGCUAAAUCCGAGAGCCCCUAGGGCUAAAUCCGAGAGCCCCUAGGGCUAAAUUCGAGAAAACCCAAAGAAAAACCUAGAAAGCGUGUAAACUCUAGGUUCAAAAUACAAGCUCUGAUACCAUGUCAAAAUAUUGUGUGAAUGGCCUAAUACUUUGGCCUUGAGUUUUGUAUAUUAUAUAUAGACUUUACAAGGAUGCUAUACAUGGAAAGCAAAUAAAAGCAAAUAAAUUCCCUCAUGAUUCUAGUCCUAUACAUGUAAAUUAUAAUCUGUCAAAUAAUAUAUGCUAAUUGUACAGAAUAAUAAAUGGAGAAAUAAGGAAACAAUUGUAGGCUAAAAUAAGGAAAGAAGUGUGGGUUAAAAUAAGGAAAGAAGUGUGGACAGCAAAGCUGUCCUUUGACAUGAUCCAGAUUCUUCCAAUGGCCUAAUUAUUAUAUGUAUUGAUUAGCUUGUGAAAGAAAUAAACUUUUCUAGGAAUAAAAUAUCAGAGCUGUGUUGGGAAGUUGAAUGAGCAUUAGGUGGAGUGGGGGCUGGGGUAUCACAUUUGGCUCUUUUUGGUACCUAAAGAUGGGUGUAGGUGUAUAUUGAAAUAGGCCUUUUACCAACUGUUACAAAUCUAUGGGCUCUCUAGGGGGUUAACCCUUGGUUGCAUAAGUUUGAACUGCAAAAUUGACAGGGUGAGUUUCAGUACUUGCCACCAACUGCUUUCACAUCAGGUUCAUGGAAGCCUCUCUAUUGUCACAUUCCAGUGACCACAGGAUAUGGCUUCAAUUUUUAGAGGAUGACUUAAAGUUGAGAGCCAGAUGCAAAUAAAGAAUUUUCAGAACCUGAUGGAUCAGGCUAGAAUUCUUAAAGCCAACUCCAAAAAGUUGGGAAAGGCUUGCUGCCCUGGUUUGUGCUACUGGGUCCUUUGUUCAAUUGGUUGAAAAUCCAAUUAACAUGAAAUUGGCCCAUGUUCUGACAGUUCAUUCAAGUCAACCACAUGCCUUUUCUCUGUCAUAGUUGUAUACCAACCUGCUUCAGGUCUGGUUUAUGUCAGCUCAGCAGUGGAAAAGAAAAUGUUGGUCCAGCGGUCUUACACCUUAAACUGCCCUGCCAUUGCACCCUUUUUCAUACGAGUGAAGGUGUGGACACUGAAUGGUGUAUUUUCAGUAAUGGGAUUUAAGGACCAGACAUUUGCAUGAGCCUGGCAAGGUCAGCUUGAAGUCUACAAAGAAAAUUUUCAAAUUUGUUGCAAUACUGAAAAUUUUAGAAGUUUGAUGACUAUACUAUUUUAUUUUUCCCCUCAAUUGUCAUCUUAGUUGAAAU